rnacentral:rRNA from 1 species
AGGAUGAACGCUGGCGGCGUGCCUAACACAUGCAAGUCGAACGUCCUGUCUCGCAAGAGGCAGGGAGUGGCGGACGGGUGAGUACCACGUGGGUCAUCUACCGUGAGGUGAGGAAUACCGGCGAGAAAUCGCCGACAAGACCGCAUAGGCUCGAUGCAAGUCGAGCAAAGCUCUUUCGAGAGAGGGAGCGCCACACGAGGAGCCUGCGCCCGAUUAGCUAGCUGGUGGAGUAACGGUUCACCAGGGCGACGAUCGGUAGCUGGUCUGAGAGGACGAUCAGCCACACUGGGAUUGAGAACGGCCCAGACUCCUACGGGGGGCAGCAGUGAGGAAUUUUCGUCAAUGGGGGCAACCCUGAACGAGCAACGCCGCGUGCAGGAAGAGGUUUCGGAUCGUAAACUGCUUUUCUCGGGGAAGAGAACGGACGGUACCCGAGGAAUCAGCCCCGGCUAACACGUGCCAGCAGCCGCGGU